rnacentral:lncRNA from 1 species
UCCCUAGGCUGAAGUUUGUGUUUGGGUCAUCAGCCAUCCAAGCCUUGGACCUAGUUGAUCGAGAGUCAGUCACUUUAAUCUCAUCACCCAGCGGGAGGCGUGUUUACCAGGUGCUAGGGAGUUCUGGCACAACGUACACGUGUCUGGCUUCCUGCCACUACUGCUCGUGCCCAGCAUUCUCCUUCUCAGUGUUAAGGAAGAGUGACAGCCUGCUGUGUAAGCAUCUUCUGGCAAUUUAUCUUAGUCAGCUUCUGAGGAACUGCCAGCAGCUCAGUGUGUCUGACAAGCAACUGACAGACCUGUUAUUGAUGGAGAGGACACAAGAAGCAUAAAAGAUGUGGCUGGAACAUGGACUUCCAAGACAGAAGCCUAGCAGGAAAUAUUUCACAUCUUCAACGCACAAGGUGGAGGAAUGGGAUGCACUUCCAGACUUGUGACUGUCACUUUGCCCUCACAGGCUGCAGAGGGUGUGUGCGGUUAAGAGCCCUCUAUGAUCUUAAUAUCAACCAGCCUCUGAGCCCCACAGGUAGAAAUCUCCCUGAGUAGAAUUAAAUAGUGUUGACUCAAAUAAAGCCUGAGCCAUGUUGUGCCUGCAAGUGGAUCAGUU